CCUUGAGGUAUUUCCCUAGACACUUCUGUUUAAUGAUUUUCCUAGAAAUUAAUUAAAAGUCUUCAUAAUUUUCAGUAUAGUACAAGAAAAGUUUAAGGAAUGAUGGCCGGUUUGGAGCUUCUUGAAAGUAAAUUGAUUCCACUGCCUGCCUCGCAAGUGCAAGGUCCUAAAUUCAAUCCCCAGUACCAAAAAAAAAAAAAGUAAAUUGACAAAAAUAAUUUUUGUAUACAAAUAGGAUUGAAAACUCUUUAUACCCCCCCCCAUUUGUUUGUUUUGGCACCGCGGAUUGAACUUGGGACCUUGCGCUUGUGAGGCAGGCGGCUGAGCCACUGAGCUACAUCUUGGCCCCCUUUUUUUUUUGGAUACAAGGUCUUCUUAGGUAGUCCAGGCUGACUUUAAACUCACUAUGUAGUCCAGGCCGUCCUUGAACUCACAGAGAUCCUCAGCUUCUGGGGUGCUGGGACUACAGGCAUGCACCACCACGGCCGACUAAGACCAUCUCUGAAGCUGAGUCUUUAUUAGGUAAUUUGGUGUUUGGUUCAGUAAUUUCAAGUAGAUUUUUUUAUUCUGUAUUUACAGUUUUGUAAACACACAAAAGAUUUUGAUGAUCACUGCAAAUAUUUGUUACUCCUUGAGUUUGAGAUCCGUUUGUCUUAAAAAUAAAAUUUACCAGGGCCGGGGAUUUAGCUUAGUGGUUCCAGCGCCUGCCUCAUAAGCGUAAGGUUCUGAGUUCGAUCCCCGGUAGCCCCCCCCAAAAUAAAAUAAAAUUUAUUGGGCCAGGGAUUUAGCUCAGAGGCACAAGGUCCUGAGUUCGAUGCCCAGUAUUGGGGAAAAAAAUAAAUAAAAUUUACUAUUUUAUAGACUAAGCAAAAUGGAAAUCUUUAUUUUAGUCUAGGAAAUAAAGAUCUAAAAAAUGCAUAAUUUCAAAUAAGUGAAUAAGGCUUGGUUAUUUCUCAUUUGAACUGCUUUAUAUACUUCCUUAGUUCUGUUCAAGUUUUAUUUUUAACUUAUUUUUAUGAUUUAUUUUGUAUAAAUUUGUUUAAUAAA
rnacentral:lncRNA from 1 species